rnacentral:rRNA from 1 species
AUGAACGCUGGCGGCGUGCCUAAUACAUGCAAGUCGAGCGAACAGACGAGGAGCUUGCUCCUCUGACGUUAGCGGCGGACGGGUGAGUAACACGUGGAUAACCUACCUAUAAGACUGGGAUAACUUCGGGAAACCGGAGCUAAUACCGGAUAAUAUAUUGAACCGCAUGGUUCAAUAGUGAAAGACGGUUUUGCUGUCACUUAUAGCUGGAUCCGCGCCGCAUUAGCUAGUUGGUAAGGUAACGGCUUACCAAGGCAACGAUGCGUAGCCGACCUGAGAGGGUGAUCGGCCACACUGGAACUGAGACACGGUCCAGACUCCUACGGGAGGCAGCAGUAGGGAAUCUUCCGCAAAGGGCGAAAGCCUGACGGAGCAACGCCGCGUGAGUGAUGAAGGUCUUCGGAUCGUAAAACUCUGUUAUUAGGGAAGAACAAAUGUGUAAGUAACUAUGCACGUCUUGACGGUACCUAAUCAGAAAGCCACGGCUAACUACGUG